rnacentral:rRNA from 1 species
UGGCUGGGAACCUGCCCUGAUGUGGGGGAUAACCAUUGGAAACGAUGGCUAAUACCGCAUAACGUCUACGGACCAAAGAGGAGGACCUUCGGGCUUCUCGCGUCAGGAUGGGCCCAGUUGGGAUUAGCUAGUAGGUGGGGUAAUGGCUCACCUAGGCGACGAUCCCUAGCCGGUUUGAGAGGAUGAUCAGCCACACUGGAACUGAGACACGGUCCAGACUCCUACGGGAGGCAGCAGUGGGGAAUAUUGCACAAUGGGGGAAACCCUGAUGCAGCCAUGCCGCGUGUAUGAAGAAGGCCU